rnacentral:rRNA from 1 species
UACGUAGGGGUGCAAGCGUUAAUCGGAAUUACUGGGCGUAAAGCGUGCGCAGGCGGUUUUGUAAGUUUGUCGUGAAAGCCCCGGGCUCAACCUGGGAAUUGCGAUGAAGACUGCAAGGCUUGAAUCUGGCAGAGGGGGGUAGAAUUCCACGUGUAGCAGUGAAAUGCGUAGAGAUGUGGAGGAACACCGAUGGCGAAGGCAGCCCCCUGGGGUCAAGAUUGACGCUCAUGCACGAAAGCGUGGGGAGCAAACAGG